AGAGCGAACGCUGGCGGCAGGCUUAACACAUGCAAGUCGAGCGCCCCGCAAGGGGAGCGGCAGACGGGAGAGUAACACGUGGGAACGUACCUUUCGGUUCGGAACAACCCAGGGAAACUUGGGCUAAUACCGGAUACGCCCGUAAGGGGAAAGAUUUAUCGCCGGAAGAUCGGCCCGCGUCUGAUUAGCUAGUUGGUGAGGUAACGGCUCACCAAGGCGACGAUCAGUAGCUGGUCUGAGAGGAUGAUCAGCCUCACUGGGACUGAGACACGGCCCAGACUCCUACGGGAGGCAGCAGUGGGGAAUAUUGGACAAUGGGCGCAAGCCUGAUCCAGCCAUGCCGCGUGGGUGAUGAAGGCCCUAGGGUUGUAAAGCCCUUUCGGCGGGAAGAUAAUGACGGUACCCGCAGAAGAAGCCCGGCUAACUUCGCGCCAGCAGCCGC
rnacentral:rRNA from 1 species